UCUUGUCGACCGUCGACCCUUAACCUCGCUUGUGGUGUAUAUUGCUUAUUUCGUUUAAUUUGCUUUUGUCGUCUUUGCUUCUGUCGUUCUCAGUUAUAUUGCCUUGUAUUUAAUUAAUACUGCUUGUAAUUAAUUUUUUUGGCUGCGCUGAAAUAUUCCCCAUUUAAGUGGCUAUUAUAGUGAAAAUGUCUUUUUACGGCUCACGGGAACAAUUUGCUGAAAAAUGCAAAAAUUUUGAAAGAGGUUGCUGCAGCAAUUUAGAUUGCGGUUCGGUUCAUACAUAUAGAUAUUGCUACAAAUA